rnacentral:lncRNA from 1 species
UCUCCUCCUCUUCACUGUCACUUACAUUCUACUUCAAAUACUCAUAAUGAAGCCUGAAUCAAGAAAAGCGCGUCAUGCUAAGGCGUUGGCCAUUGGAGAUCCUCAAAGCGCCGUCAACAGCUCGCCUUACAACCUAAGCGACAUUAACGACGCUCUCAUGCGGGACGCCUCCGUCGCCGUCGACACCUCAUGUUACGACCUAAGCCACUUGAAG